rnacentral:lncRNA from 1 species
AAACCUUGAGCCUGCCAUGUCUGAUCCCCAAUGUUGUUCUCUUCAGGGCCCUCCCGGUCAACCCGGAUACCCUGGUGCAAUGGGCCCCCCCGGGCUGCACGCAUGAUUCUAACACAGCCCUUGAGCUCUCUUUGUUCGGACCAGUUCAGUCUGUCUCGCUGUUGCACCUUUUUCCUAUCAGCAUUUGUUGUUAUCGGGGAUUGUGACAUUUGAUGCACUUUCACUGGCUUCCUCCAGCUGAGCUCAUCAACAGGGUAAAUUCAUAGGCCCAACAGUGCUGAGAGCGGGGGGGCCUGGGCAGUACAUGCCGCUGGGAGUGGAGACCCCUGGCGGAGUGGUGAGACAGCCGAGCGCGGCCUGCCAGGGCAAGCCGGGCUGCCGUGUUGGGAAGGAGGGUACGAUCAAGCAGUGCAGAGGGGAGGGACUCUGCUGUGCUGAUCUGGAGGGUGAGCCUGGGGGUCACGGGCCCUGGGGGUCACUAGAACUUGCCACACCCCUGCCAAGAAAGUGUGAGGUGCAGAUUAGCAGAGGAAGGUCCCACAGGCCCACACGUUAGCCACCACCAAGAUGGUUCCCCUCUCCCACCGUCAGCUACCUCCCCACCGGUUACCAGCCCCCACCCGCUGCCCCUGCAGCUGCUGUGCAAAGCUCAUCUCAUUCCCCCGCCUUCUUACCCAGGGCAUCAAAGGAGAACGAGGCUAUUUGGGACCCCCCGGAGAGAAAGGGGAAUCGGGCCCCCCUGGUUCCGAUGGCGUCCCAGGUCCUACGGGGCCAGCGGGUCCGAGAGGAGAGCGCGGAACUCAGGGCAACUCUGGGGAGAAAGGAGAUCAG